rnacentral:rRNA from 1 species
UACAGAGGUCCCAAGCGUUGUUCGGAUUCACUGGGCGUAAAGGGUGCGAAGGCGGUCGGGUAAGUCUGAUGUGAAAUCUCACAGCUUAACUGUGAAACUGCAUUGGAUACUAUCCGGCUAGAGGAAUGGAGGGGAGACUGGAAUACUUGGUGUAGCAGUGAAAUGCGUAGAUAUCAAGUGGAACACCAGUGGCGAAGGCGAGUCUCUGGACAUUUCCUGACGCUGAGGCACGAAAGCCAGGGGAGCAAACGGG